rnacentral:rRNA from 1 species
AUGAAAUGCUGGCGGUCGUGGAUAAGGCAUGCAAGUCGACGGGCCGCAAGGCACCGUGGCAGACGAGGUAGUAACUACGAUAGGAACGUACCCGGUAAGUCGUGCAUAGCUCGUCGAAAGACGGGGUAAUUCCAGAUGGUCUCGCAAGAGUAAAGAUUUAUCGCUACAGGAGCGGCAUGUCUGUAUAUCAGCUAGUUGGUGAGGGUAAUGGCCUCACCAAGGCUACGACGCAUUAGGGGACUGAGAGGGCUGACCCCCGCCGAUGGAACUGAGAAACGGUCCAUACUCCCUACGGGGGGCUGCAGUCAGAGAAUCUUCCGACAAUGGCGAAAGUCCUGAUCGAGCGACUACCGCGUGAUGGACUGAAGUGCUUCGGCCACGUAAACAUCUUUUAUGAGGGACGAAGUUAUUGACAGGUACCUCAUGAAUAAGGGGCUCCUAACUCUGUGCCAGCAGGAGCGGUAAUACAGAGGCCCCAAGCGUUAUCCCGGAAUCACUGGGCGUAAAGGGUGUCGUAGGCGGUUAUGUUAGUCGUUUGUAAAAUGCCUAGGAGCUCAACCUUAGGCCCUCAGGGCGAAACGGCAAUGACUAGAGGUUGGGAGAGGUGCGUGGAACUCUACGGUGUAGGGGUGAAAUCCGUUGAUAUCGUGGGGAACACCGAAAGGCGAAGGCACUGCACUGGCCCAUACCUGACGCUCACAGCACGAAAGCCAGGGGAGCGAACGGGAUUAGAUACCCCGGUAGUCCUGGCCCUAAACGCUGCUCGCUCGUUCUACGGAGUAUCGACCCUCUGUGGGACUAAGCUAACGCGGUAAGCGAGCCGCCUGGGUAGUACGAUCGCAAGAUUAGAACUCAAAGGAAUAGACGGGGACUUGCACAAGCGGUGGAUCAUGUGGCUUAAUUCGUAGCUAAGCGAAGAGCCUUACCAGGGCUAGAAACCAAGCUGCAAUCCAACCCGAAAGGGAUGGAGCCUUCGAGGGUGCUUGGCAGGUGAUGCAUGGUUGUCGUCAGUUCGUGGCUUGAGCUGUUCCCUUCAGUGGGGUAACGAACACAACCCUCGUUGUCUGUUACUUAUGUCAGGCGAGACUGCCCCCUCACGGGGGAGGAAGGUGGGGAUGACGCCAAAUCAGCAUGUCCCUUGAUGCCCUGGGCUGCACACGUGAUACAAUGGGUCGUACAGAAGGACGCAAUACCGCAAGGUGGAGCAAAUCCCAAAAACUACCCCCAGUACGGAUUGAGGUCUGCAGCCGACCUCAUGAAGCCGGAAUCGCUAGUAAUCGUGGGUCAGCCAUACCACGGUGAAUACGUUCUCAAGUCUUGUACUCACCGCCCGUCAACUCAAGGAAGUUGGAGGUGCCCGAUAUCUUAUCUCGUAUAGGACUACGGCAAAUUCAAUGACAGGGAGU